CGCUGCUGGGGCUUUACCUCUGGUAGAUCUGAUUGCCAUUCGCGAUCUCUCUCGCUUUUUGUUAUUUGGAGUGUUUGUUCACUUGUAGGUCUUUAAACUUUAAUGUGGCUUCGAAGUUUGAGACUUGUGAAGCUGAAAUCAAAGUUUUAGAAUAGAAACAAGUGAUAAAGCACCUUGUAAAUUGGAUCAGUUAUGGUGUUUUGGGAAGGUUAUGUGAGUGAUGAAGCAAUGGGCACUU
rnacentral:misc_RNA from 1 species